rnacentral:rRNA from 1 species
GACGAACGCUGGCGGCGUGCUUAACACAUGCAAGUCGAACGGAAAGGCCCUGCUUUUGUGGGGUGCUCGAGUGGCGAACGGGUGAGUAACACGUGAGUAACCUGCCCUUGACUUUGGGAUAACUUCAGGAAACUGGGGCUAAUACCGGAUAGGAGCUCCUGCUGCAUGGUGGGGGUUGGAAAGUUUCGGCGGUUGGGGAUGGACUCGCGGCUUAUCAGCUUGUUGGUGGGGUAGUGGCUUACCAAGGCUUUGACGGGUAGCCGGCCUGAGAGGGUGACCGGCAACAUGGGGACUGAGAGACGGCCAGGCCCCCGGGGGGGGGCAGCGGGGGGAAAUAUGGAAAAAGGGGGGGAAGCCGGAGGCAGCACCGCCGGGGGGGGGAGGCCGGCUUGGGGUUGUAAACCCGCUUUCGCCUGGGAAGAGGGGGGAGGGAGGGUAGGGGAUAAAGAAGCCCCGGCUAACUACGCG